ACAACCAUUACUGUACUCUGUGUCACCCAGUAUGCCUUGCAAUCGUGUGCGUGUUACCGCGGGAGUCACACACAACAUGAUGCUAGACUGACAAGCAGUUCAUACAUGUUGUAGAGGGCAACAAAGCCAAUGGCUUCAUAGCAUGCACUGAUAUAUAAUGUCUGGGUGACUGACGGCAGUCAUUCAAGAAAAUAUUAGCGUCUCUUAUUGACUUCUUCGCUUUAUGACACGUGUCUUAAAUGGCUCUUUGAAUGGCAAAGGAUACCGAUCCCAGAACCAUGUAUAUCAAAUGUCUCCGGAUGGUUGAACCGCCACCCGCCCGAAUCUAAUUAAAAUCAAUUUUUUCGUCAUGUCAACCGCCCGACCCGCGGUUUACCCGCGGACUCCGCGAAUGAGACCGCAAACCGCGCAUCUCUAAUGUGUAUGGUUGCUUUAGUACUAUUAUCUUGUGUUUAUUAUAUAGCGUUGUUGUUGUUUUGUUUUUGUUUUUUGUUGUUGUGCUUGCUACCAUGUUUCAUCUUUCCAUAUAUAUACUGUCCUCUGGACCCCCGUCAAAAGCUUCUUUUAGCUUAUUUGGGGGACCCUUUCACGUACCAACGUCUUUAAAUGAUGUCAUUUCACCACUACUGCAAUUGUUACAUGGUAUUGUGAAAAAAUUUGAAACAUGUUUUGCUAUCUAUUGCAUUGGUGAUCACUUCUGUUAUUUCGAUUAAUACCAUUGAUGUGGAGAUAUUGGCUCUGUAUGAUUCUCUGUGAGUGUUUCAUUUUUAUAUAUGAGUUUGUCCAAACUGUUGUUAAAAUUUUUUCAAUUAUUUUAGAAAAUUGUGGAAGUAGAGAAACAUGUCUGUAGUUUGUAAACUGGUCUUUGUCUCCAGUCUUAUAACUCGGUACGACUUUUGCUAUUUUAAUUUUAUCUGGGAAUUUGCCUGUUUGAAAUAAUUGUUUUCUGAUAUUUGUUAAAAGUUCUGAAAUCUCUUCAAAAGCUUUUUUUUAUUGUUUCCUUAUCAAUUCGGUUACAAUCAGUUGAGGUCUUGGAUUUAACAUUUUUACAAUUUUAAUUAUUUCCUUUUUUGUCACACCCUCAAAGAACAUCAAGUUAAGAUUUCUGGAUUUUUUUAUUUUAUUUUACUUGUCUAUUUAUUUUUGGUCAUCAGUUCAUGUAAACGGUACACUUCAAGUGCAAAGCAGAUACAUUUCCUGACCAAAAAGGAUAUAGGCUGAAGAUAAAAACUUUUUAUGCCUACCUUUUCCACAUUUACUGUUGUGUUUCUAGUGUUUUCCUGCCUUCUCCUUUUGUGUGCACCUGUGCUUUUAGUGAUUCGUCCUCGGCGAGAAGCGCACCUUGAGGCACACCUGCUCGCAAUUAGCACACCGGUAUUCAGGCACGUCACUGUCAGCUUGGCCUCGCCUGUUUCACCUUGCUCCGUGAGGUAAAGAGGACUUUAUGCUGCCUAAGUGCGUUCUAGCUUUUCCCUCCGCCGACCAAUGAGGAACCGGAUUUUGUUGGUAAUUCAUGGUGUGCACUUCUGCCCCAUCACCUUUUGUUACACUUUUUGGACUUAUUAAAUGUUUUCCCUUUCAUAAUUCAA